UAAUCUAUUAUGAGCAGAUUCUUAUUUAGUUAUAGCAGACUCACGCUUACUACUUAGAAUCACUUAUCUUAUGCAAACAAUAACUUUUUGAAUUUUUAUUUGAAA
rfam:Populus trichocarpa isolate Nisqually-1 chromosome 2, whole genome shotgun sequence.